rnacentral:lncRNA from 1 species
GUUUAAGGUUCUGGAUGAGCUAUGGAAGCCAGACAUCACAUUGUCAUGAGAGAGGGUCCCUGGGUAUGUUACCAGCCUUGGGCAGCCACUCUGUAUGCUUCUAAAUGCCGUGUCACCACAGGAUCGGAGUUUGUGAAAGAAAAACCCUACUAGGAUAUUUGACUGCAGAGAAGUAAAGACUGAACACUCAACUUUAGAAGCACCCCAGAAGCAGACUCACUUCAUGAGGCCUUUAUCUGCACUACCAUGAAGAUCGGAACUUUAAAUAAAUAAAAGGCAGAAGUCCAUACUAGGAGAAAAGCUCUGUUCUCUGCAGCAUGAUAACCCCAUCAGGAAACAGAAAAAGAUCUGCCUGAUCUUAAGCUGUGGAAAUCCUUCAACACAAAAAACAAGUUAAGCCCAAAGCAAAAAAGAGAAUGUGUCUCAAAAUUUUUGAUGGCUCACUUGCAGUUUCAGAGAACCAAGAUGAUAAACAUAAAACUGAUAUCCAAGAGGAUAAACAUAAAACUGAUCUUCUGUCCAUAUAGUGACACCUUAGAGACGCCAAGAAAGAGCCAGUCAAAUUCACAUACAUUCAGAGCUUGCUGGGGGAAAGAAGGAGGACCGAGAAGGAGAGAAAGGAAAAAAGUUCAGAAUGAGAACUAUGCACAUAACAUGUAUAAAGGUACUUAUGUAUUUUCUGAACUACACAUCAUGGUACUCGUUCACCCCCUUGUCAGCUUUGUCUGCAGCUCUCUCUGUGUAGACCAGCAGUGA